GUCUCGUUCGGUUAGAGACCCAGGAUCUUGUGGAAUUGAAUCCUUUAGUUGGCUAAGUCUAUUCCAGGGGAAGAACUAUCGUGGCCAAUUCUAGGAGUCGUCUAAUACAGAUAGUUGAUGCAUUCAGGGGGAACUGAGUAGUCGUACAACCCAUCCACGUCUGAAUAUUCCGGAGUAGCUUACUCUCUCACGCUGAAGAGCUUACCCUAAUGAGUGUCAGGGAAUUAGUUUACCCUCUUGUGCUGGAAAGCUGAUCCUGAUGGGUGUUGAGAUAUUAGUUUACCCUCUCGCGUUAGAGAGCUUAGCCAGAUAGGUGUCGGGAAAUUAGUUUACCCUCUCGCGUUGGAGAGCUAACCAUGAUGGGUGUUAAGGAAUUAGUUUACCUUCUCGCGCUGGAGAGCUUACGGCAUGUCUGUAGGGCAGCAGGCGUCUUCUGCUUGUCACAUAAGGUUGGUCAAUUUGUUUAUGCAUUUGGCCCAGGCUUGUGAAUAAUUCCUUCAAUAUUCACUGAAAAUAUAGGCUUUUAUUAACUUUGCUCAUAGACAGUAAUGGCAUAACAACUGAUAAUUCUCGGUAUGCGAGGUUUUGUUCAUCGUGCUGCUUGAGUUUUCGAACUUUUUUCAUCUUAAACGGGGUCCAAGGAAUGGUAGGAGGUCACACAUAGUACUUUCUCAGGUUGUAGGCAUUCCACUGCUUGUUGAUUUCUUUGUUUCUUAUAGUGGUGAAGGUGUAGCUGCCUCUUACGCCUACUCGACAGAUUUUGUACGGACCUUCCCAGAUGGGAGCCAUCUUUUUGGAGCCUUCCCGUAGGAAUUUGGAUCGCUGGAAGUACCCCUGAAACGAGGCGUGUUAGGUCGGCGCUUAUUCACCUUGGAUCUGCAUGGUCGUUGGGUUGCCACAUCCUCGCCUGCUGG
rnacentral:lncRNA from 1 species